AGUGAACGCUGGCAGUAGGCCUAACACAUGCAAGUCGAACGGCAGCACAGGAGAGCUUGCUCUCUGGGUGGCGAGUGGCGGACGGGUGAGGAAUACAUCGGAAUCUACUUUUUCGUGGGGGAUAACGUAGGGAAACUUACGCUAAUACCGCAUACGACCUACGGGUGAAAGCAGGGGAUCUUCGGACCUUGCGCGAUUGAAUGAGCCGAUGUCGGAUUAGCUAGUUGGCGGGGUAAAGGCCCACCAAGGCGACGAUCCGUAGCUGGUCUGAGAGGAUGAUCAGCCACACUGGAACUGAGACACGGUCCAGACUCCUACGGGAGGCAGCAGUGGGGAAUAUUGGACAAUGGGCGCAAGCCUGAUCCAGCCAUACCGCGUGGGUGAAGAAGGCCUUCGGGUUGUAAAGCCCUUUUGUUGGGAAAGAAAUCCAGCUGGUUAAUACCCGGUUGGGAUGACGGUACCCAAAGAAUAAGCACCGGCUAACUACGUGCCAGCCGCCGCGGUAA
rnacentral:rRNA from 1 species